GAUAGGUGAGUCCUAGGAAAUGACGUAUGUUUUCAGCAAGGUCUCUCUAUUCAAAAGAAAUAGACUUUCUUCCCAUGGAACAAUGCCUGAGAAAGCUUCUGUUUUAAGAUUGGAGAGAUCAUUUAACCCUUCUCACAGUGGAGACAUGUGACUGACAGAAAUGAAACUAACAAUCCAUCGUGUUUAGUAUAAUAACGGGAACACGGCCUGUAUCCCCCCUCUGGUGUUUCUGAUCUUCAGCCUGGGAACAUCUGCUGUGUAUUCUGGAAGCUGGUGCGUGGGGUGAGUGUGAUGGAGCGUACCAAUAAGUACAGGAGGGGACAUCAGAGGGAAGCCAUGGUCUGGCAGCAGAUCCCGGAAGAAUGAAGUGGAGCAGCAGGACGAGGAUAAAAUGAGUAACACAGAGAUGCACCAACAGAGUGUGGAGGUGGAGCCAGAGAAAGCCGCCAGAACUGAAGGAGAGGAGGGGCCAGGGGAGGAGCAUGAGGUGCCAGAGGAACAGGAGUCUGAUUCCCACCUCCAAUCACACAAAUCACUUGGAACGCAGUGUGUCCUACCAGCUGGCCACCCAGGGAGACACGGCCCCCAACUUGAGCAGUGAAUGCUCCCACCACUCAUUGGCUGAGCUGAAACGACAGUGGGCGGUGGCCAAGCUCCAAAGACACACCCCACCCCCUGUUUCUGACUCUGAAGCACAAGAUUCCUUAGGCCCCGCCCCCCAGGAGCCUGUGUAUUACACUACAGCAAGUGGGGAGCCCCUGUUACUGAAACUCAUUGCUCCGGCGGAGGAGACGACUCCAGUGGAGAAAAGAACCUGCUGUGGGGUGAUGUGACUGCUUGGGGCACAACCUGUAAUGUGACACUUGCUGGAAAAAAAAAAGCCCGUAUUUUACCCAUGGGAAGAGAGGGGCCUCGGCUCUUUUUUUGUUAAUAAAUCUGGACUUUAUAAAGUUGAAAUGUAUCUGUAAUAUUCUAUUUUAGUGGGGAUUUCCCUGUUGCUGUUCCCUUGUCACAGAUCACUAAAGGGUAACCCCACUCCUGAGGGGCUUCCCCUGAAGGGACGUGUGUGUGUGGCAUGAGAGGGGUGAGUGGGGGUGUGGCA